rnacentral:tRNA from 1 species
CGUUCUAUUGCCGAAUUGGUAAAGGCAUCGCCGAUCACAGGCGAGGGUGCGGGUUCGAGUCCCGCUGGAACCA